UACGUAGGUGGCGAGCGUUGUCCGGAUUUAUUGGGUUUAAAGGGUGCGUAGGCGGCCCUAUAAGUCAGUGGUGAAAUAUCGCAGCUUAACUGUGAGGGUGCCAUUGAUACUGUAGGGCUUGAGUGAAUUUGAGGUAGGCGGAAUUGACGGUGUAGCGGUGAAAUGCUUAGAUAUCGUCAAGAACACCGAUAGUGAAGACAGCUUACCAAGCUUCAACUGACGCUGAGGCACGAAAGUGUGGGGAGCAAACAGG
rnacentral:rRNA from 1 species